rnacentral:rRNA from 1 species
CGGUGGAGCAUGUGGUUUAAUUCGAAGCAACGCGAAGAACCUUACCAGGUCUUGACAUCCCCUGACAACCCGAGAGAUCGGGCGUUCCCCUUCGGGGGGACAGGGUGACAGGUGGUGCAUGGUUGUCGUCAGCUCGUGUCGUGAGAUGUUGGGUUAAGUCCCGCAACGAGCGCAACCCUCGACCUUAGUUGCCAGCAUUCAGUUGGGCACUCUAAGGUGACUGCCGGCUAAAAGUCGGAGGAAGGUGGGGAUGACGUCAAAUCAUCAUGCCCCUUAUGACCUGGGCUACACACGUGCUACAAUGGGCGGUACAAAGGGUCGCGAACCCGCGAGGGGGAGCCAAUCCCAAAAAGCCGCUCUCAGUUCGGAUUGCAGGCUGCAACUCGCCUGCAUGAAGCCGGAAUCGCUAGUAAUCGCGGAUCAGCAUGCCGCGGUGAAUACGUUCCCGGGCCUU